GCUCCUUCAUAUGUAUGCAAGCUUGAUAAGGCACUAUAUGGGUUGAAACAGGCUCCAAGGGCAUGGUAUGCUCGUCUCUGUCACAAAAUGCAAGCACUUGGUUUUGUUCCCUCUAAAUCUGACACAUCAUUGUUCAUCUACAACAAGUCCAACACAUGCAUAUUUGUUCUCAUAUAUGUUGAUGAUAUUAUUGUAACCAGCUCAUCUGAUGAAGCUAUCAGAGGACUUCUUAAGGAUCUAAGUGCAGAAUUUGCUCUAAAGGAUCUUGGUGAUUUGCACUAUUUUCUUGGGAUUGAGGUGAAGAAGCACAAAGAUGGACUUCUGCUCUCUCAAGAAAAAUAUGCCACUGAUUUGGUUAAGAAGGCUGGGUUACAGGGAUGCAAGCCUUCCCCCACUCCAUUGUCUAGUUCAGAAAAACUGUCUCUUGUAGAAGGUGAGCCCUUGAAUCAAGAGGACAACACGAAA
rnacentral:rRNA from 1 species